GUGCCAGCAGCCGCGGUAAUACAUAGGGGUCAAGCGUUGUCCGGAUUUAUUGGGCGUAAAGAGCUCGUAGGCGGUUCAACAAGUCGGUCGUAAAAGUUUAGGGCUCAACCCUAAAAUGUCGAUCGAUACUGUUGUGACUAGGAUACGGUAGAGGUGAAUGGAAUUCCUAGUGUAGCGGUGAAAUGCGUAGAUAUUAGGAAGAACACCAAUGGCGAAGGCACUCUACUGGGCCAUAACUGACGCUGAGAGACGAAAGCUAGGGGAGCAAAUGGGAUUAGAUA
rnacentral:rRNA from 1 species